GUACUCCUACGGGGGAGGGCAGCAGUGGGGGAAAUAUUGCACAAUGGGGGAAACCCUGAUGCAGCCAUGCCGCGUGUGUGAAGAAGGCCUUCGGGGUUGUAAAGCACUUUCAGUAGGGAGGAAGGUAGUGUAGUUAACACCUGCAUUAUUUGACGUUACCUACAGAAGAAGCACCGGCUAACUCCGUGCCAGCAGCCGCGGUAAUACGGGAGGGGUGCGAGCGUUAAUCGGAAUUACUGGGCGUAAAGCGCAUGCAGGCGGCCUGUUAAGUCAGAUGUGAAAGCCCGGGGCUUAACCUCGGAAUUGCAUUUGAAACUGGCAGGCUAGAGUCUUGUAGAGGGGGGUAGGAAUUUCAGGUGUAGCGGUGAAAUGCGUAGAGAUCUGAAGGAAUACCAGUGGCGAAGGCGGCCCCCUGGACAAAGACUGACGCUCAGAUGCGAAAGCGUGGGGAGCAAACAGGAUUAGAUACCCUGGUAG
rnacentral:rRNA from 1 species